UGCUGUGUGCAAAGUUUGGGGGAAGAGCGCGGGGGCUUUCCACCCCUGGCCGCUCACACUGGAAGGGGCAGGAGGGGCAGGGCACAGCUCACCAAGGAAUCUUUUAUUCUUAUUGAAAGACGUUGGCUCAUCGCUUCUCGUUCUUUUGGCUAAGAUCAAGCGAAAGACGUUGGCUCCUUCAUUCAGCAAAUAUGUGGCCUCUUCAGAUCCGCAGGUUGACAGGUUUUCAUCCCUCCUGGAUAAUUCCCAGCCAUUAUCUCUUCUAGAGCUUCCUCCACCCGUCCUCUCCUGCUUCCGGGUGAAACUCCAGAUAAACGCAUGACAACGACAUCUCCCAGAACCCUCACAUUCUCGUGUUCCCCCUCUGGUAUUAUCAGGCUUUUUGGUCGCUGUGUGGCUUUCUGGAUGAUUUCUUCUUUUUUAAAAAGAUUUUAUUUAUUGGACAGACAGAGAUCACAAGUAGACAGAGAGGCAGGCAGAGAGAGAGAUAGAGGGAAGCAGGCUCCCUGCUGAGAAGAGAGCCCGAUGCGGGGGCUCGAUCCCAGGACCCUGAGACCACGACCUGAGCCGAAGGCAGAGGCUUAACCCACUGAGCCACCCAGGCGGCCCUGGAUGACUUCUUCUGAUACCUCGUUAAUUCUUCUGCGGUGUCCGAUCUUCUGUCCAAUGCAGUUGAGUUCGUUAUUAGUUUUUAGUAUCUCUAGUUCUGUCUUGUCCUUCAUCAGAUCUGCUACGCCACUUUUCAGAGCCUUCAAGCUUGGGGUAAGCAUAACAGUUCUGGGAUCUGUGUUGGGAGUGGCCGCGGUGUUUGGAUAAAUGUUUAGUAGUCAGAAUAAAAAAAAACCCUGAUCUGUAGCCCUGACCGCUUCCUCCCUGAAUACGCCCACCGUGGUGGGUCGCAAGCAGCCGGUGUGAAGUCAUGACCGUGGACUCUGGGACUUUGCCUGGAUCCCCCCAGGGAGGUAACAUUGGAGCUGACAGAAACCUGAAUGAGAAGGAGCCAAGAGAGCACUGGAGGGAAGGGGAUGAAGACAGAGGAAGAGUCUCACACAGGCCAGAGGGGAAGGCGGAACCAACCCGCAUAUUCACCAACAGAUGAACAGAUAAACAGACAGAGGGGGUCCUCCCAUAUGCAGUCAAAUCCUGCUCCACCGUAAUAAAAAAUAAGCUUCUCCGAAAAUCUCUGUGGAUCUGCUGACUCAAGGUUACCUUCCUGCGUGGCCUCAAGGGACUGCAGCCGAAACCCAGCCCCCCCAACCCCCCACCGCCGCCGCACAAGUCUGAGGCCUCGGUCACCAUUCAUUCCCAGGCUGGCACCGUGUUCUCUUUCUAGUAGAACGGGAAAGAUUUCUCUGCGCCAUCGCGAAAGUGGAAAAGUGGAACAGAAACCAAGAAGGUUGUCUCCUUUCUCUUAUUCCUGGCCGACUGCACACACUUGCAGUACUUACCUGGCUCCCAGAAGCACUUCUAUUUGAGAACUCAGGUCCGACGUUGGAUCCGUACAGCCUCUGCCGCAGGGUCAGUCAAGU